rnacentral:misc_RNA from 1 species
GAUGAAGAACGUAGCGAAAUGUGAUAAGUAAUGCGAAUUGCAGAUUUCAGUGAGUCAUCGAAUCUUUGAACGCACAUUGCGCCCGCCAGUAUUCUGGCGGGCAUGCCUGUUCGAGCGUCAUUUCAACCAUCAAGCCCCCGGGCUUGCGUUGGGGCCCUGCGGCUGCCGCAGGCCCCGAAAAGCAGUGGCGGGCUCGCUGUCACACCGAGCGCAGUAGCGAUUCUCGCUCCGGGCGUCGGCGGCGGGCACCGGCCGUGAAACCCCCCCACAUCCACAAGGUUGACCUCGGAUCAGGCAGGAAUACCCGCUGAACUUAAGCAUAUCAAUAAGCGGAGGA